AGCUAUCUAGCUCAGUUGAUAGAGCAUGAGACUCUUAAUCUCAGGGUCGUGGGUCUGAGUGCAAUGUUGGCUA